rnacentral:rRNA from 1 species
UAACGAAUAUUCCGCAAUGGACGAAAGUCUGACGGAGCAAUGCCGCGUGCAGGAUGAAGCGGUUUCGCCGUGUAAACUGCUGUCAGGGGCAGGAAAAACUGAUCCGCCCCAAAGGAAGAGACGGCUAACCCUGUGCCAGCAGCCGCGGUAAUACAGGGGUCUCGAGCGUUAAUCGGAAUCACUGGGCUUAAAGGGUGCGUAGGCGGAUCCGUAAGCGCUUUGUGAAAUCCCCCGGCUCAACCGGGGAACUGCAGGGCGAACUGCGGAUCUUGAGGAAACUAGAGGCCGGUAGAACGAUUGGUGGAGCGGUGGAAUGCGUAGAUAUCAAUCGGAAUGCCAAAAGUGAAGACAGCCGGCUGGGGUUUUCCUGACGCUGAGGCACGAAAGCGUGGGGAGCAAACCGGAUUAGAUACCCCCGUAGUCCCUGAGCGGGCUGGCAAGGCGCAU